rnacentral:rRNA from 1 species
CCUACGGGGUGCAGCAGUGAGGAAUAUUGGUCAAUGGCCGGAAGGCUGAACCAGCCAUGCCGCGUGAAGGUCAGUGCCCUAUGGGCGUUAAACUUCUUUUGUGCGGGAGCAAUAAUGGUCACGUGUGGCCAGACGAGAGUACCGUACGAAUAAGCAUCGGCUAACUCCGUGCCAGCAGCCGCGGUAAUACGGGGGAUGCAAGCGUUAUCCGGAUUUAUUGGGGUUAAAGGGUGCGUAGGCUGUGAGGUAAGUCAGCGGUGAAAUGCCCCCGCUCAACGGGGUGAAGUGCCAUUGAUACUGCCUUGCUGGAAUGCGGAUGCCGUGGGAGGAAUGUGUGGUGUAGCGGUGAAAUGCAUAGAUAUCACACAGAACACCGAUUGCGAAGGCAUCUCACGAAUCCGCGAUUGACGCUGAUGCACGAAAGCGUGGGUAUCAAACAGGAUUAGAUACCCCAGUAGUC